UCUGAUGUCACAGCCAGACGAGGCUUGAACCUGGUGCAGGUCAGAUGGUCUGUUUGUCUCUGUGUGAUGUCACAGUCAGACAAGGAUUCUUUAGUUCUUUCCUGUCUCUGUAAUCAUUUGUCCUUUCCAUCUCUGACCACACAUGUUCCAGUGUCCACGCUUAAAGGACACACAGUCAAAUCAGUCUGAGACAUAGGAAAGCUCUGGGUUGGAGGCCUUUCACUCUGUGGUCCUGCUCUCUGUAUGUAUAUAGUAGGUUAAUAUAGAAGUUGGAGACCUUUCACUCUGGUCCUGCUCUCUGUAUGUAUAUAGUAGGUUAAUAUAGAAGUUGGAGACCUUUCACUCUGGUCCUGCUCUCUGUAUGUAUAUAGUAGGUUAAUAUAGAAGUUGGAGACCUUUCACUCUCUGGUCCUGCUCUCUGUAUGUAUAUAGUAGGUUAAUAUAGAAGUUGGAGACCUUUCACUCUGGUCCUGCUCUCUGUAUGUAUAUAGUAGGUUAAUAUAGAAGUUGGAGACCUUUCACUCUGUGGUCCUGCUCUCUGUAUGUAUAUAGUAGGUUAAUAUAGAAGUUGGAGACCUUUCACUCUCUGGUCCUGCUCUCUGUAUGUAUAUAGUAGGUUAAUAUAGAAGUUGGAGACCUUUCACUCUGGUCCUGCUCUCUGUAUGUAUAUAGUAGGUUAAUAUAGAAGUUGGAGACCUUUCACUCUGGUCCUGCUCUCUGUAUGUAUAUAGUAGGUUAAUAUAGAAGUUGGAGACCUUUCACUCUCUGGUCCUGCUCUCUGUAUGUAUAUAGUAGGUUAAUAUAGAAGUUGGAGACCUUUCACUCUGGUCCUGCUCUCUGUAUGUAUAUAGUAGGUUAAUAUAGAAGUUGGAGACCUUUCACUCUGGUCCUGCUCUCUGUAUGUAUAUAGUAGGUUAAUAUAGAAGUUGGAGACCUUUCACUCUCUGGUCCUGCUCUCUGUAUGUAUAUAGUAGGUUAAUAUAGAAGUUGGAGACCUUUCACUCUCUGGUCCUGCUCUCUGUAUGUAUAUAGUAGGUUAAUAUAGAAGUUGGAGACCUUUCACUCUGGUCCUGCUCUCUGUAUGUAUAUAGUAGGUUAAUAUAGAAGUUGGAGACCUUUCACUCUCUGGUCCUGCUCUCUGUAUGUAUAUAGUAGGUUAAUAUAGAAGUUGGAGACCUUUCACUCUCUGGUCCUGCUCUCUGUAUGUAUAUAGUAGGUUAAUAUAGAAGUUGGAGACCUUUCACUCUCUGGUCCUGCUCUCUGUAUGUAUAUAGUAGGUUAAUAUAGAAGUUGGAGACCUUUCACUCUCUGGUCCUGCUCUCUGUAUGUAUAUAGUAGGUUAAUAUAGAAGUUGGAGACCUUUCACUCUCUGGUCCUGCUCUCUGUAUGUAUAUAGUAGGUUAAUAUAGAAGUUGGAGACCUUUCACUCUGUGGUCCUGCUCUCUGUAUGUAUAUAGUAGGUUAAUAUAGAAGUUGGAGACCUUUCACUCUGGUCCUGCUCUCUGUAUGUAUAUAGUAGGUUAAUAUAGAAGUUGGAGACCUUUCACUCUCUGGUCCUGCUCUCUGUAUGUAUAUAGUAGGUUAAUAUAGAAGUUGGAGGCCUUUCACUCUGUGGUCCUGCUCUCUGUAUGUAUAUAGUAGGUUAAUAUAGAAGUUGGAGACCUUUGUUCUCUGUAUAAUCCUCCUUCUGUUUCUUACUCUGAAAUACAUACAAUCAUGUCUGUCUAGGAGGUUGCUUUGUGUUAAUGUUACUAUAGAUCCUCUGUCCUC